rnacentral:rRNA from 1 species
AACGAACGCUGGCGGCAGGCCUAAAACAUGCAAGUCGAACGCCCCGCAAGGGGAGUGGCGCACGGGUGAGUAACGCGUGGGAACGUGCCCUUCAGUACGGGACAACGUCGGGAAACUGACGCUAAUACCGUAUAAUAUCUCCGGAUCAAAGAUUUAUCGCUGGGGGAGCGACCCGCGUCUGAUUAGCUAGUUGGUGAGGUAAUGGCUCACCAAGGCUACGAUCAGUAGCAGGUCUGAGAGGAUGAUCUGCCACACUGGGACUGAGACACGGCCCAGACUCCUACGGGAGGCAGCAGUUAGGAAUAUUGGACAAUGGGGAAAACCCUGAUCCAGCCAUGCCGCGUGUGUGAUGAAGGCCCUAGGGUUGUAAAGCACUUUCGUUGGGGAUGAUAAUGACCGUACCCAAAGAAGAAGCCACGGCUAAAUUCGUGCCAGCCGCCGCGGUAA